GAAAAUUCCCGGAUGUCGAUCCACAGGAUACGGGAACAAAAAAAAUCUGAUUUUCUUUAGAAGAAAGAAGUGAAAAGUAUAACCUGAAGAAAACUGUUGCCCAACUUAAAGUAAGAGAGUAUGUUUUAUUAUAGAAAAGCGAAGGAGAACAACAUGAGAAUCGCGGUUCUGUUUUCAGUGGGCCGGGAUUGUAAACACGUCAUAGGUGCUGUUGGAGCUGCUGUUGGAGGCUGGAGUGAAAACACAGAGAGGCCAGUUAGAGGAAGAAGCUACAGACUUACAUGUAUUACAGCGUCUUUUUCUUCUUCGCUUAAAAAUUAGCUCUGCAUCAGAGAGCAGCAGAGCUGGAUGUGAGGAUGAAGCGCUCUUCGCGUGGUCGAGUUAUUCUUUUGAAGUAAAACAGUUAAAGAUUAGCUGCAUCAGAGAGCAGCAGAGCUGGAUGUGAGGAUGAGGCGCUCUUUGCUCUGCAUGCUGGAGUUAUUCUGGCUAAGUACACUCCAUGGAAAUGUUGAAGGUAAGAUUUUGCCUUUUUUUUUUUUUUCGUUUAUAAAAUCUGAACAGUAUUGAUCUGUAUCUGUCAUGAUCCUGGGUUUGGGACCAAGAGUUUUCAGUUGUGAACUCUCAGUUUCUGUUUGAUAUUCUCU